UCGUAGUGCCAAAACAAGCUCGAGCUCCAUCUGCUCUGUCUCUGAAUAACUCGUUACGGUGAGUCGAUUCGCGGAAAUCCCAGUGUCCCCGAAGUGAGCAAAACAAGACGGAGUUUCAUGUGCCCUAGGUAGGGAGCAAGGAUUCCAUUUGUGAUUCAGCUAUUAGGAUGGAAAAAGUGACGAAUCUCAGUUUCUCUAUCAAGAGUUUCAGGAUGCAAGGCAAGGGAGAGCUGGAACCCUGGCGCAGAGCAGAAAGGACGACAUAUUUAAUAAGCACCAAAAAUCUGCAACACAACAUCAGCGACUGGACCCAGUUACCAUGGCAACACGGCUCAGCAAGGGGGAUGUACAGUGGAAACAGUUGGAACACAAACGAUUGGAUGCACGUGACUGGGCUUCACUCAUAUUACUUACUCUAAUAUAGAUUUUUUUCCCAAUGUCAUUUUAAUUUUUUACAUUUUUUUUGAUAAAGCUGCUCCUGUAACUGAAGUAAAGCAUAAAAACUAUAAAUAUGGCUGAAAAAUAUAAAUAAAUUUUACAAAAAAGAAAGACAAACAAACCAGAAAAAUACAGAACAGUAAAAUAAAG